rnacentral:lncRNA from 1 species
UUUGGCAUGAUUCAGCUUCCACCUGCAGAGAACUAGUGGUGGCACUGUGCCUACCAUUUUUGUCUUAUUCCAGCUCAUUUUCUUUUCACCAACCAAUCGAUCUUGAAAGCCAAACCCCCCACUCCCUCUUACACAUGCCGACGUGCAUAUAUGCCCACGCCCAUUCACACAUGGAAGGCAUUCUUCUUGAUCCACUAACACUGAAGAUUUUGGUAAAAGGAGUAGGUGAAUAAAGACAAUCGUAGAGAUGCAAGCUGGUAGACACAAUGAAGCAACCUUACGUGUGUACCACAUGAAACACUGGAUCUAUCUUUGUCCCAUGCUAUCAAAGUUUAGACACAAGUGAAUGGUCCAGCUCUUCUCUAAGGUUUGGGAACUGGAAAGACGUGCAAACUUGAUGGUGCAGUCUACAGUAGUUUCCGGUGGUACUCUAUUAUUAACCUGACUCUUCAACAACAAUGGCUUGUGAUUAGGUCCAGUACUUGAGCUCCUUGUUUCGCACCGGGGUGGUCUUGCCAUGUCAGAUUGGGACCACCGAUGACUGACCACCAUCUGGGUGCAUGGGGGUAACUAGGGC